rnacentral:lncRNA from 1 species
AAGCUUAUUAUUAUAGGAUUUUUUUAUAUUUAGUAAUUACUAUUUAAAGUUAAGAUUUGUAUUAAAAAUUUGAAAUUUAUGUAAUAUAAUUAGGGCUAGCACUCUCAGCUAGUUUGUAAAAUUGGUAUCACAUCUACAAUUCAAAAUUUAAUAGUGCUUGAUCAAUUAGAUUUAUUACCUUUAGAUAAAAAUUUAUAAAAAUCUACUAGUGCAGUGUCAUGUUGUAACAUGAUUUUAUGGUAAAAGAUGAUAAUAUGGAUCUUAUUAUAGAAGAGCCAAGUUAAAAG